UAACCAGUCAUUUAAGACUUGUUGUCUUUUAAAUGAUUGGUUAAAAUGACUACUUUACUUUACAUGUAUUAAUGCUAGCAUGCUAAUGUUCUGUUGACAUAAGGGAACUUUAAAAAUAACAUCCUGCACCAUGAUAUAAACUCUAGUGCCCUAUAGUAGGUAUAAAAUACAGUUGAACAUUAGUGGUACAACACUAACAUCAAUGCUGAUGUUAUAUUUUGUAAAUUUAUUGCAUCAUAUUCCAAAAAGGUGAUAUAUUAAUUUUAUUUUUAACUAAUCCUAAUAAACUCUUCACAGGAUACUUACUGUUCCAUGUGACAUUUUUUGGUUCAAUGUUUUGGAGAUAAAAGAAAUUACACUUUAAAUGUUGUGUUAGCAUGCUAGCAUUAGCAUUACCACACUAGCACACUAGAUUAGCUUAGCACAAUUUUACACUUGGUAACAUCUGUACAGUGUAUUUAAAAUGUGAAACAUUUAUAGUACUGUAGUAAAAUGAUAAUUGAAUAUUAACAUUAGCAUGCUAACAUUGCUGUUAAUGUGCUAACAUGGGUUAAGCCAGUUCCACUUACCCUUCUUAAUAAUGGAUCCAGAACCUAAAAACACAUUUACUGUAAAAUAAAACACAUUUCUAGUCAACUACAUGGUAAAAAAGACAACUAAAUUUUAGCAUUAGCCUGCUAGCACUAGCAUUGAUGAUAUUAUUUCAUUAAACAUGAAUGCUUUACACUUAAUUGUAAAUUCAGGGCUCAGUUUCUGUAGUAUCUACAUUUAGUGUGCCAAGUAAUAAUAAAACAGUUGUUUGGCAUUAUCAUGCUAAUAUUAGCAUUUUAAUGCUAAUUUAGCUCCAUGUUUGCUUAGACGGCUCUUCGUUAAUCUGCACUUUAACUCAUGAAUUAAACUUUCUCUCUAUUAGCAAGUAUAUUGUUCAACAUAACAAAUAUUUAGUGAAUUAUAUAGUAGAUAAUAAUAAAAACAGCUUGUUUUUGCUAACAUUAGCAUUGACAUGCUAACAUUAUGUCCUGUUUGAUUGACUGAUUUGCUUUAUGAUCUAUUAGGACCAAUAAAAUGAACACUGGUUUUAACAGUAGAUUGUUUUAUGGCCUGCAUAGCUGCUGAAAAGCUACAGUAAUAAUAAUAAUUUUAACGCGGUGUACAAGAUGGACGACUCGCCUUGUGGUGCACUAUAUAGUGAAUGAGUGGCUAAUUCACCCAAAGCGUUUGCUUGACGCAGUGAGAGUUUCUGGUUUUCUGCAUUUCUGUUACAGUUGAGCUGAAAAUCGGUUUUCUGUGAGUUUGAGGAAUUGAAUGGAAAAAGUUUGAAGUGAUGAAACGUUGACCCCGAGGUCACCUGACGCUGCUUCACCUCAACAUUUAUACUUAUCUGAACAUCUGCGGAGAAAAAGACAAUAACCUGGAAGCGUUCGACUCUAACUUUGUACUUUGAGGUAUUUAUGAAGGCACAUGUAUCGUAUAUCAGCUACGUUCUUAAAAAUGACUAAAAUAGAUUUAGUCUAUUUUUAAAAUCUGUUUUUCUGCUGCCAAAGUUUCCUUCUACUUGUUUUGUUAAUUUGGGUUGUUUAAGGUUUGAAAGUUGGCUCUGGAGCCCUGAUUGGGGGGAAAAUGAGAAAAUUAAUGAAGAUACGGAUAAAUUUAAAUCUAAAGACCAACCAUCUCCAGUCUUUGACCAUUAUUUUAAUUUUAUAUCAAUGUUCUUCUUUUUGAUAUUAAUGGAUAUCAAUGGACUUGCGUGUCAGUGUCCCUCACCCACAUGCCACACCGCUCCUCUCUUCCUCUGCAAGCAUGCCGACUCCUUUACCUGUCCUAGCUGUAGUUACCGUAGCAACAGUGUGUAGACUGUCCUCUGGAGUAAGCAGCUUUUUAAGCCUUACCUGUGCUUGUGAUGUCAGUAAAAUGUCUUACUUUGACUGGUCCACUUGACGUCGUUAAAAACGCCCUCAAGGGAGUGAAAGGUAUACGGAGAGCAAACGGGGCCGUAAGCUGUUUGACGAUGAGGAACAUCCAGAACUGAUUCCUGGUGGUUAGAAAAUGAUCAGAACUGUGCAAAAGUCUUCAGUCAGCUCUGUAGAUGUUAUUGUAGCCGUUUAAAGUCGGCUUGGUCAGUCGGAUUUCAGGUUUUCUUUGGCCUUUGGUUGCUUUUUCAUGAAAACGUUUUCAUUUUUGUCUAAGUUACGUCCUCUGAUGUACAAAUGUUUAGGUUCUUUUUCACUAAAAGCCA